rnacentral:lncRNA from 1 species
AUGAACUUCCAGAUGUUCAAGGUGGUUUUAGAAAAGGCAGAGGAACCAGAGAUCAAAUUGCCAACAUCCGCUGAAUCAUCAAAACAGCAAGAGAAUUCCAGAAAAACAUCUACUUCUGUUUUAUUGACUACAUCAAAACCUUUGACUGUGUGGAUCACAACAAACUGGAAAAUUCUGAAAGAGAUGGGAAUACCAGACCACCUGACCUGCCUCUUGAGAAACCUGUAUGCACGUCAGGAAGCAACAGUUAGAACUGGACAUAGAACAACAGAUUGGUUCCUAAUAGGAAAAGGAGCAUGUCAAGGCUGUAUAUUGUCACCCUGCUUAUUUAACCUCUACGCAGAGUACAUCAUGAGAAAUGCUAGACUGGAUAAAGCGCAAGCUGGAAUCAAGAUUGCUGGGAGAAAUAUCAAUAACCUGAGAUAUGCAGAUGACACCACCCUUACGGUAGAAAGUGAAGAAGACCUAAAGAGUCCCUUGAUGAAAGUGAAAGAGGAGAGUGAAAAAGUCAGCUUAAAGCUCAACAUUCAGAAAAUGAAGAUCAUGGCAUCUGGUCCCAUCACUUCAUGGCAAACAGACAGGGAAACAGUGGAAACAGUGUCAGACUUUAUAUUUCUGGGCUCCAAAAUCACUGCAGAUGGUGACUGCAGCCAUGAAAUUAAAAGACACUUACUCCUUGGCAGGAAAGUUAUGACCAACCUAGAUAGCAUAUUAAAAAGCAGAGACAUUACUUUGCCGACUAAGGUCCAUCUAGUCAAGGCUAUGGUUUUUCCAGUAGUCAUGUAUGGGUAUGAGAGUUGGACUAUAAAGAGAGCUGAGCGCAGAAGAAUUGAUGCUUUUGAACUGUGGUGUUGGAGAAGACUCUUGAGAGUCUCUUGGACAGCAAGGAAAUCAAACCAGUCAAUCCUGAAGGAAAUUAGUCCUGAAUAUUCAUUGGAAGAACUGUUGCUGAGGUUGAAACUCCAAUACCUUGGCCACCUGAUGCAAAGAACUGACUCACUGGAAAAGACUCUGAUGCUGGGAAAGAUUGGUGGUAGAAGGAGAAGGGGAUGCCUGAGAAUGAGAUGGUUGGAUGGCAUCACUGACUCAAUGGACAUGAGGUUGAGUAAGCUCUGGGAGUUGGUGAUGGACAGGGAAGCUUGGCGUGCUGCUGUCCAUGGGGUCACAAAGAGGUGGACAUGUCUGAGUGACUGA